GGAAGUGCUGGGGUCAGUUAUGAUCCUUCUUGCUCCUUUUUAACAUCAUAGACAUUUGGUUGACAUAGUCGUGCCCCAUCUGAUUUCCACCCAUCAACCACUCAAGAGCCUCGGCUGCUGCAUCCUUUUCAGCAUUCUUUUUGUUGGUACAAGUCUUAUAGAUGGGUGCAGCAUAUCCAGCCCUCGUGAGUAAAGUCUGGAGCUGACUCUUGGAAUUGUCCCCACCAGGUCCACUUUCAAUUCUUGAAACAGCAGUUGGUGGUGGUGCUGCUGCUGCUGCUGGAGCUGAUGUCUUGGAGGGCUGCUGAAGGAUCUGGCGGCCAAAAACAAAUCGACCUUCACACUGGUCUUCUGAAAUAAGCAAGCGUACAGCAGAUAGGAGCUCAUGGUGGGAGUGCAAGUCCAUCUUUGGAUUUAGUAGCUGAACAUUGUGACCAAAUCAAUUAAUACAAGUAUUUGGGGUCGUCCAGUAACAUUUUAUGUUCUAAAGUUUUGUUUUCAAAUCGUCUAUAUUUUAAAAAACACCAGUAGAAAAUAGCCA